rnacentral:rRNA from 1 species
UGGUACUUGUACCGACUGGAUGAGCAGCGAACGGGUGAGUAACGCGUGGGAGAAUCUGCCUUUGAGCGGGGGACAACAUUUGGAAACGAAUGCUAAUACCGCAUAAAAACUUUAAACACAAUGUUUUAAGUUUGAAAGAUGCAAUUGCAUCACUCUAAGAUGAUCCCGCGUUGGAUUAGCUAGUUGGUGAGGUAAAGGGGUCACCAAGGACGAUGAUACAUAAGCCGACCUGAAGAGGGUGAUCGGGCCACAUUGGGGACUGAGACACGGCCCAAACUCCUACGGGAGGCAGCAGUAGGGAAUCUUCCGCAAUGGGACGAAAGUCUGACCGAGCAACGCCGCGUGAGUGAAGAAGGGUUUCGGAUCGUAAAACUCUGGUGGUAUAGAAGAACGUUGGUGAGAGUGGAAAGAUCAUCAAGUGACGGUAACUACCCAGAAAGGGACGGCUAACUACGUGCCAGCAGCCGCGGUAAUACGUAUGUCCCGAGCGUUGUCCGGAUUUAUUGGGCGUAAAGCGAGCGCAGGUGGUUUAUUAAGUCUGGUGUAAAAGGCAGUGGCUCAACCAUUGAAUGCAUUGGAAACUGGUAGACUUGAGUGCAUGAGAAGAUAGUGGAAAUCCAUGUGUAACGG